rnacentral:rRNA from 1 species
AUUGAACGCUGGCGGCAGGCUUAACACAUGCAAGUCGAGCGGAGAGAGGUAGCUUGCUACUGGUCUUAGCGGCUGACGGGUGAGUACGGCUUAGGAAUCUGCCUAUUAGUGGGGGACAACAUUUCGAAAGGAAUGCUAAUACAGCAUACGUCCUACGGGAGAAAGCAGGGGAUCUUAGGACCUUGCGCUAAUAGAUGAGCCUAAGUCGGAUUAGCUAGUUGGUGGGGUAAAGGCCUACCAAGGCGACGAUCUGUAGCGGGUCUGAGAGGAUGAUCAGCCACACUGGGACUGAGACACGGCCCAGACUCCUACGGGAGGCAGCAGUGGGGAAUAUUGGACAAUGGGCGGAAGCCGGAUCCAGCCAUGCCGCGUGUGUGAAGAAGGCCUUAUGGUUGUAAAGCACUUUAAGCGAGGAGGAGGCUACUUUAGUUAAUACCUAGAGAAAGUGGACGUUACUCGCAGAAUAAGCACCGGCUAACUCUGUGCCAGCCGCCGCGGUAACAC